UGGGGAAUAUUGCACAAUGGGCGCAAGCCUGAUGCAGCCAUGCCGCGUGUAUGAAGAAGGCCUUCGGGUUGUAAAGUACUUUCAGCGAGGAGGAAGGCGUUGUGGUUAAUAACCGCCGCGAUUGACGUUACUCGCAGAAGAAGCACCGGCUAACUCCGUGCCAGCAGCCGCGGUAAUACGGAGGGUGCAAGCGUUAAUCGGAAUUACUGGGUGUAAAGCGCACGCAGGCGGUCUGUCAAGUCGGAUGUGAAAUCCCCGGGCUCAACCUGGGAACUGCAUCCGAAACUGGCAGGCUAGAGUCUUGUAGAGGGGGGUAGAAUUCCAGGUGUAGCGGUGAAAUGCGUAGAGAUCUGGAGGAAUACCGGUGGCGAAGGCGGCCCCCUGGACAAAGACUGACGCUCAGGUGCGAAAGCGUGGGGAGCAAACA
rnacentral:rRNA from 1 species